rnacentral:rRNA from 1 species
AACGAACGCUGGCGGCAGGCCUAAAACAUGCAAGUCGAACGCCCCGCAAGGGGAGUGGCGCACGGGUGAGUAACGCGUGGGAACGUGCCCUUCAGUACGGGACAACGUCGGGAAACUGACGCUAAUACCGUAUAAUAACUCCGGUUCAAAGAUUUAUCGCUGAAGGAGCGGCCCGCGUCUGAUUAGCUAGUUGGUGAGGUAACGGCUCACCAAGGCUACGAUCAGUAGCAGGUCUGAGAGGAUGAUCUGCCACACUGGGACUGAGACACGGCCCAGACUCCUACUGGAUGCAGCAGUUAGGAAUAUUGGACAAUGGGGGAAACCCUGAUCCAGCCAUGCCGCGUGUGUAAUGAAGGCCCUAGGGUUGUAAAGCACUUUCGUUGGGGAUGAUAAUGACCGUACCCAAAGAAGGAGCACCGGCUAACUUCGUGCCAGCCGCCGCCGUAA